rnacentral:rRNA from 1 species
AUUGAACGCUGGCGGCAGGCUUAACACAUGCAAGUCGAGCGAGCGGCGGACGGGUGAGUAAUGUCUGGGAAACUGCCUGAUGGAGGGGGAUAACUACUGGAAACGGUAGCUAAUACCGCAUACAAUCAGAUGUGCCCAGAUGGGAUUCGCUAGUAGGUGGGGUAAUGGCUAACCUAGGCGACGAUCCCUAGCUGGUCUGAGAGGAUGACCCGCCACACUGGAACUGGGACACGGUCCAUACUCCUACGUGAGGCAGCCGUGGGGAAGUUUGCACAAUGGGCGCAAGCCUGAUUCAGCCAUGCCGCGUGUGUUAAGAAGGCCUUCGGGUUGUAAAGCACUUUCAGCGAGUAGGCGUUACUCGCAGAAGAAGCACCGGCUAACUCCGUGCCAGCAGCCGCGGUAAUAC